UGAGGUGUCAAAGAAACGUCUCUCGUUCGCAAAUUCCAGCCAAUCUUCGACGAGAGACAGUCCAGCACGGCAAAAAUCCAAAAAAGCACAACGCAACUUGACUUCUUUCGUGUCGUGGAUCACUUUUCGUCCGACUCGCGAUACUACGUGGUGUUGUUUGCGCUUCGAGAAAGGUCCGGUCUUCGUUAAAAAUUGCCUUUUUUUUGUACACCUCCCGAGAAUUCACAGCUAUCAAGGAGGAACCAGAGAAAACAAGACUUGCAACAUCUAUUGCUUAUUUGCUGCUAUAAUCAACCUCCCGACCACAAAUCUCCGGAACCAAGCAGGCGAGAGCAGCUUCUAUUGAAGGCCCCAGAUUUGCACAUAAUUCGCUAACACCACAAACACACACAACCUACCCUAGAACAAUGGCCCCACAGCAGAGAAUCCGCAUGGCCAACGAGAAGGCUAGCCGCAACAUCACCCAGCGCGGCAACGUGCCCAAGUCGAACAAGAGCGCCGAGGAGAAGUACCCCGUCGGACCGUGGCUGCUGGCGUUGUUCAUCUUCGUCGUGUGCGGUUCGGCCAUCUUCCAGAUCAUCCAGUCGAUCCGUAUCGCGUAAUGCACGAGCUCUGGCGGCGGCGAAGACGAUGAUAAGCUGAACGCAUCUCACAAACAUAACACACGUGUGUUUUCUUUUUUUGUAAACACCACUAUUUAGUACUAUACUAUUACCGCAUACGGAUAAGUGAGAAGGAGGGAGAGGGGUAACAGAUUUUGCCAACGUCCGAGAAAGUCUUUUCUCCACUGUUUUUUUAGUUUUGAUUGUUUUUGUCAGUGUAUAACCAUAACCUCACCUUCCAAUGGAAUUCCUUUUGAUUCGCCGGAGGAAGGCUCGAGGGAAGGUGCCACUGGCCACAUUUUCCUACUAUAACCGUACAAUGAGUUGACACACACAAGAGAACACACUACAAGCAAAUAAUGGGAAUCAAACAGCACACAGAGACGAGCAAAUAUUCCGUUUUUUUCUGGGGUUGGCAGCAUUUACCGUUGAUACGGUUGGUACGACUGGUAGGAGACGUUAUGAGCGGUCCAAUUCUGGUAUUGUCUUGUAGGAAGUCUGUUUAGAUGAAGAUGUGAAUUGGACAUUUUGAACGAAAUUGCAUAAGCAUGAAAUUGAAGACAAAGAAACAAUUGUAACAUAAUCACACACAGUUUGUCCUUUCUCUUGCAAUAUAUUAAGAGUCCCGGAAAUGGGGUUAAAAUGCUAUUGGUUAUCGUGUAAUACAACUAUGUAAAUUUGACAAAAACUUUUACCUCUUUUGAUAUUUUUUAUUAUUUUUGUCGAAACAUUUCCUUUAGCUACUUGAGCUCUAAAUGAACCGUGAUCCGAUUUGCUCUAUUCCUUAGAUAUAAUGUAUUGCUGACAAGAAAAUAAAGACACAUACACAUGAAAUUUGCCUAACAAAAAGAAUCGACGAUUGUGAACGAAUCCUCAUUUUUUUCUUCUAACAACAAAAGGAAACUCUAUAGGUAGAAAGGUAGCUGAAAGAACACAUACAAAACAACAUCCUACAGUUGGAUCAGGAAACAAGUAAAUCGAAAUCGGAGGCACGGACGAGUCGUUUGCAAUAAACACACAAAAUCGGAAAAGAAUGUGUAAUAUGAGGAAAUAUAUUUAAAUGUGCAAAUCUUUAAAUUAAGCCAAAAAUAAUGCGAUACUUUGAAUUCAUUGCAAAUACAACACGAUAGAACAAAACGAAAACAUCCCUAUCGCUAAUUUUUGUUUGUCGAAAGUUGUUCACCUUGCAGCGGUGGUGUCGUUAUCGGUUGACCAUUCAAUUGCGCUUCGUGUAAUUGAUAAAUCGGGCCGAAAUGUGCGCUGGUGUAAAAUGAUGGACUAAUAAAUUGACGGCGAUUAGUUGUAGUGGACGAUUUGACCUUUGAAGGAAACAACACACUAGACA